rnacentral:rRNA from 1 species
CCUACGGGAGGCAGCAGUGAGGAAUAUUGGUCAAUGGGCGCGAGCCUGAACCAGCCAAGUCGCGUGAAGGAUGACUGCCCUACGGGUUGUAAACUUCUUUUAUCAAGGAAUAAAGUGAGGCACGUGUGCCUUUUUGUAUGUCCUUUAUGAAUAAGGAUCGGCUAACUCCGUGCCAGCAGCCGCGGUAAUACGGAGGAUACGAGCGUUCUCCGGAUUUAUUGGGUUUAAAGGGAGCGUAGAUGGGUUGUUAAGUCAGUUGUGAAAGUUUGCGGCUUAACCGUAAAAUUGCAAUUGAUACUGGGAGUCUUGAGUACAGGAGAGGUAAGCGGAAUUCGUGGUGUAGCGGUGAAAUGCUUAGAUAUCACGAAGAACUCCGAUUGCGAAGGCAGCUUACUAAACUGCCACUGACAUUGAUGCUCGAAAGUGUGGGUAUCAAACAGGAUUAGAUACCCCGGUAGUC